rnacentral:rRNA from 1 species
GACGAACGCUGGCGGCGUGCUUAACACAUGCAAGUCGAACGGAAAGGCCCCUUUGGGGUACUCGAGUGGCGAACGGGGGAGGAAAACGUGAAUAACCCUCCCUUUACUUCGGGGUAACUUCAGGGAAAUGGGGCCAAUAACGGGUAGGAAUCCUUUGUGCAUGGGGGGGGGUGGAAAGCUUCGGCGGUUUUGGAUGGACUCGCGGCUUAUCAGCUUGUUGGUGGGGUAGUGGCUUACCAAGGCUUUGACGGGUAGCCGGCCUGAGAGAGCGACCGGCCACAUUGGGACUGAGAUACGGCCCAGACUCCUACGGGAGGCAGCAGUGGGGAAUAUUGCACAAUGGGCGGAAGCCUGAUGCAGCAACGCCGCGUGCGGGAGGACGGCCUUCGGGUUGGAAACCGCUUUCAGCAGGGGCGAAGCUUGUGGUGACGGUACCUGCAGAAGAAGCACCGGCUAACUACGUG